rfam:Sorghum bicolor cultivar BTx623 chromosome 10, whole genome shotgun sequence.
AUCCCAUGAUGAGGACACUCGAGUAUGUAGUCUUGAAAAUGCUCCCAAGCUUCUAGGACUGUCUUAUCUUGUUGUUGCUGAAAGCUUGAUAUCUUCCCAUGUAGCAU